rnacentral:rRNA from 1 species
UGUCAGCUAAGUGGCGGACGGGUGAGUAAUGUAUAGUUAAUCUGCCCCUUAGAGAGGGAUAACUACUGGAAACGGUAGCUAAUACCUCAUACUCCUUCUAGUGUAAUGCUAGUUGGGAAAUGUUUUUUCGCUAAGGGAUGAGACUAUAUGGUAUCAGGUAGUUGGUGGGGUAAGAGCCUACCAAGCCAAUGACGCCUAGCUGGUCUGAGAGGAUGAUCAGCCACACUGGAACUGAGACACGGUCCAGACUCCUACGGGAGGCAGCAGUGGGGAAUAUUGCACAAUGGGGGAAACCCUGAUGCAGCAACGCCGCGUGGAGGAUGACACACUUCGGUGCGUAAACUCCUUUUAUAUGGGAAGAUAAUGACGGUACCAUAUGAAUAAGCACCGGCUAACUCCGUGCCAGCAGCCGCGGUAAUACGGAGGGUGCAAGCGU